UACGUAGGGUACGAGCGUUGUCCGGAAUUAUUGGGCGUAAAGAGCUCGUAGGUGGUUGGUCACGUCUGCUGUGGAAACGCAACGCUUAACGUUGCGCGUGCAGUGGGUACGGGCUGACUAGAGUGCAGUAGGGGAGUCUGGAAUUCCUGGUGUAGCGGUGAAAUGCGCAGAUAUCAGGAGGAACACCGGUGGCGAAGGCGGGACUCUGGGCUGUAACUGACACUGAGGAGCGAAAGCAUGGGGAGCGAACAGGAUUAGAUACCUUGUAGUCC
rnacentral:rRNA from 1 species